rnacentral:rRNA from 1 species
CGCGUGGGAAUUUACCAUGGAGUGGGGGAUAACCGCUGGAAACGGCGGCUAAUACCGCAUACGCCCUUAGGGGAAAGGCUUUAGUCGCUCUGUGAUGAGCCCGCGUUAGAUUAGGUAGUUGGUGGGGUAAAGGGCCUACCAAGCCUGCGAUCUAUAGCUGGUCUGAGAGGAUGAUCAGCCACACUGGGACUGAGACACGGCCCAGACUCCUACGGGAGGCAGCAGUGGGGAAUAUUGGACAAUGGGGGCAACCCUGAUCCAGCCAUGCCGCGUGCGUGAAGAAGGCCUUAGGGUUGUAAA